ACAGGACCGAGGUCAGUAGAAGAUGGAGAAGACAGAAGCUCAUGAGAAGGAACGCACUUGCCAAUGAGGAAGUGAGGGGCUUAUUGCAGCUGUCCAAAGGUCUGAACAAGUCCUCAACAAGUAAGACGACUGGGCAGUGGCUCCCAACCGCUGUUUACCGGAUGAUUGGAUGCAUCGCCGAUCAAAGACAUCAGAUUCAUGUUGGACAUCGCCUGCGCCCAUGCCAACAUUCUCUCCCUUGUUGAAAUUUGUGUUGUAGUUUAUUCGCAGGGUUGACAUUCGAUAUGAAGUGUAAUCUUUGCCUUGGAUAAUACUAUUCUGCAUAAAAUGUGUGUCAAAUUAAUUGUUGCACGCAGCAAGAAUUUUUAACGAAAUUUCUGAUCAGAGAAAAAGAAAGAAAUGGAUGGCGUCGACCCUGCAUGUCGCUGGUUAUAUAUUAUACAUUUGUUUCUAAAUUGAAGUACAGUACUCUGUCUGCUAAUAUCGUUUCAAGGUAUUUUAUUUAUUAUGUAUAUUUAUUAUUGUGUCAGGAGGUACCCAUCAGUUCUCAAAUCAAAAUACGGCACUUUUUGGAGUUCAUAUUUAACAAAAUAAUUUUAAUGCAAAAAGUAUUUUGCUGAAUGAUGGAUGAAAACAAAAAUGAUAGUGAUCAAUUAUUUUUAUAAGGUGAUUUUUAGGUAGAGUAUUGGUUUUCUAGUUGAAGGUAAAACUUGUCUGUGGGCAAAUCUUCAGUUAGCCACUUGGCUGUGCAUUUGAGGAUAUUUUAAAUAUUUAUUUUGAUUUGAAUUGAAUUGAAUUUUGAGAUUCCAAUAAGAAAAAUAUCUCAACGUCAUUACGUGAAACUUUUGAGAGACAAAUGGUUUCAUACAUUGGACGUUAAGUUUGAGAAAAGAACAAGUUGUUAAUUUACAAACACUGUACCUCAAGUUAUAAUGCUUUGGAAAUUACAGCGUUAUGAAAAUGAUAAGAUUUGCCCACGUGAUUGCAGAAUUGCCCAUGUAUAAGGAACAAUUUUUUUUUAAUUGUCGAUGUCCGUUUGUGACGCAUGUUAAGAAUGAACUUACUUUGGUUUCGGCGUUUUGAUAUCGUGUCUGAUCAGUGACAGAUACACAUUUACUGUGCUGGGAGGGGUCUACAACAAUGUUAAGAAAAUGAAACCAGGAGAGGAAUAAGGAUUUUCACGAAAUUACUGCGCAUUCGUUAUUGCAGUAGGAGAAUAUAUGUUACCAACGUGAUAAAAAUUGUCCCUUCUUGGGGCCGACAAAAUUUAUCAGCAUUGCAUGAGCUCAUUUGUGUGGUGUUCGACUUUUUGCCAAUAAAUGCAAAGCAGAAAUGCAAGUGCUCUCCUGGAAAUACUUUUUUGUUCAUAUGCAUAAAAAUAUCUAUGUAGAACUGACAUUUAUCAUAAACUUUACAUUUUUAAUUUCGAAAAUCAAUCUUGCAAUUCAAA